rnacentral:lncRNA from 1 species
AUUUACUAGAAAGGAAAGGGGAUAUAAAAGAGAAAACAGUUCAUUUUCUCACUUAAACGUGGAUGGUGGGUUAAUUACCUAAAAAUGGAGGGGGUUUUGUGCAAAUAUGCAUGACGUACGGACAUAAGCACUAAUGAAUUUAUUAUUAGCUAAAUAUUUCAAUGUCAUUUCCUGUUUUCGGCAUGUUGUCUGUUUCGCGAAAAACCCAUACCUACCGAAGUCCAAACAUGAGGAAACUUUUUGGUGAUUUUUUCUCGAGCAUAAGAGACACUAGAAGCUUUAGGGGAGGACAAGAAGACCUGCGAGGGGCCCACAAGCUAGGUCGGCACACCGUGGGGGCGCCCCUUGACUCGUGGGCACCCCGUAGCUCCAUUUGGCCUAAUUAUUAGCCAAUAAUUUCCAUAUUGUUUAGAAAACCUUGAAGCAAGAACUAGAGAAAUUUUAUCUCCAUCGCAAGCCCAUGUUCCACUGUGAUCCCAUCUUAAGCCUUUUUCUCGUACUAUGUUGGAGGGGUAAAUCAUUGGGGAGGCCAUCUUCAUCAAGCCAUCGUUUUACCCCCUCCAACCAUGAGGAGUUAGCUGAAGUAUGCGAGGUGGAAGCCUUCUCAACAAAACAUAAAGUAUAAAUAAAGUGAACCAAGAAAAGCAC